AGUAUUAGGUGUUUGAUAUUUUUAUUAAAAAUAUUCGAUGCACCGAAAACCAUAAUACCCAAGAAUUCUUGACUAUAACAAUCAAAGUACAAUAAAUGUAAAUUUGGAUCAAAAGAAUACCUGUAGUGCUAAUUUAAUUUUUGCAAGGAACCCAAGCAUCCACGCUCCAACGAUAAUCUACAUGAAAAUUAAACCAAGAAUAGUGCUCUUUUUUUACCUUACUUCUAGAGUUCUAGCCCCUAGAACUCGACUAGCCACC
rnacentral:lncRNA from 1 species